rnacentral:rRNA from 1 species
CAGUAGCCGCGGGAAUACAGAGGGUGCAAGCGUUAAUCGGAAUUACUGGGCGUAAAGCGCGCGUAGGUGGUUUGUUAAGUCGAAUGUGAAAUCCCCGGGCUCAACCUGGGAACUGCAUCCGAAACUGGCAAGCUAGAGUAUGGUAGAGGGUAGUGGAAUUUCCUGUGUAGCGGUGAAAUGCGUAGAUAUAGGAAGGAACACCAGUGGCGAAGGCGACUACCUGGACUGAUACUGACACUGAGGUGCGAAAGCGUGGGGAGCAAACAGGAUUAGAUACCCCGGUAGUCCCUGUCUCUUAUAC